rnacentral:lncRNA from 1 species
ACUAAGUUUUUCAAAUCUUUUAGUUAUAUCCUUAUGGCAUGAGAUAACCUUUUUGCUUUUUGUCUUAUUUUUCUUGAAUUGAACUGAAUUCUUCAGCUUGAAGCAUGGUAUUCUUUAUUAUAUUAUGAGUGUUGAUUUAUUUUAAUUAUGAGCGAAUGUCCAAAUAUUUUAUAGUGACUAUUUUGUAUUUUUUCACAGAAAGUAGGCUAAAAGAUUUAUAUUUCGGAAAAAAAUAAGCGUAGGAAGGAAGCCUUUUCCAAGGUUUGUCGACUAUGGCCCAUGGACGCCGUUGCCGUUUCGAUUUUUCGAAUAUUGCAGAAUUGCAGACGACAUCUGUGCAGUUCUCCUCUGACAGUGACAGCCCUAAUUCACGCAGCACAAUAGCGAGCGUGCAGCGAGUGUACGACGAAAAAACUCUACAACCCACAAAACUGGAAGCCAAACUGCACUUUUUGCGAGUUCUUUUCAUUUGGAUUUUAAGGGUUUCAUCAAUUGCACAUAACUGUUUUCCUAGUUUGACUAAAUAUCAAAUUGGAUUGAGAGUAUACUUUGCUGUCGUGGUUCCAUUUUAGUCCUGACUUGUUGCUUCAAUUCAGUGUGUUGUUUUAUCUUGUUCUGGGCAUUUCCUGUGCUAAAGAAUGCCACUCCGGUUAGAGGUAUGCGUCAUUUGAGAUCUACUGGAAUUUAAACAUUUUUAGAAAAUGAUUGAAUCUUGAAACUCAUGUUCCUGCCAAGUGUUAGGCCAUUUCAAGCGAUUCACAAGAGCAUUCACAAGACUUCAUUCCUUCAUAGUAAUUUUUUAAAAAGUUUCUAAAUUUGCAUUUCAGACUUGAUGAGAAGUCAUGACAUUUCAAGGAAAAGGAUAAGGACUAUACAGUCAAUAAGGUUCCUUGUUUGCUAUUGGCUGCUACCCUUGGUUCUCCAUUUUUACUUCCUCCUUCUUGAUUUGAGGUCAUGAUUGAUUGGAAUCGAAACCAUUCUGUCUCGACACCGAAAUUCUUUGGAACGAGAAUUGAGGUUGUGAUAUGCUAGUAAUGCUACAGCCAUUUAGCAUAAAGGGCAUCACCCGUCAACAAAGUGCUUAGUUUGUUAACCCGUUGACUUCUACACAACACUUUAAAUCCCCAUCCUUCCGCUCUUAUUUUGAAUUGCUUGCUGUCUUUACAAUCUUACAUGACAUUUUUAUAUCUGAAGGCACCUACAUUCUCGUUUCAGGUAAAUCUGGCGCCGCUAUUCCAUAGGCUGAAUCCAUUAGUGGAAACUGAAAAGGGAUCAGUGACGACUGACUGACGUGUUGUCAUCAGCAAUACUGCUCAUAUAGUGCCACGCUUCCGUUGCCCCCGAGGCGUGGUGCCUGCUCCAGCUACGCGGCCAGAAUAAUUUGACUUCGACUACCCAACCGACGGUCUGGUGGGUCAACUCACCCUUCACUGACUAUCCUUCUACCCCUGCUCUCAACACAGCACGGAGUUUCUCGAGGACGACGAGAUCAUGGUUUUGAUGGGGAGAAUAUGUUUCGUCAUGAGAUGUAAUGUCCUUUCAAGAUAGUCAACAAGGUCCUUUGUUUGCUAACCCAAUGGCUGCUACCCUUGAAUCUCCCCUUUACUUCCUUACACAGGCCCUCUUGAUUGGAGGGUAAUUCCUUCCUGAACUUCAUUCAUUGCUGAAAACCGAUGAGAUCAUGCUGUAAUUCAAGACCGAUAAAUUGUGUAGUUAGCUAAAUUACAAGUGCAUAUCUGGGCUCCCUUCUUUUCUGUGGCCCCGUUUCCCUAACUAACCACUAACCAACGCCCGCCGGUGGUCACUCACCCGCUGUGAAACCAGGAGGAGGGGAGGGCUCUGGUCGAACGGGGACUUGGAAGGCGCAUGAUCCGAUGAAAACUUUUGGAGGGUCAUGAGUCUAACCCGGAAGCCUAGUAUGACUACAUCUCCCCGGAAAAACUUGCCUCGUACUUCUCUCUUCUUCUCGGUCCAGAUAAAUAUCUCUGGGGGCCGUAGACAUAUCCUAUAACAGCAUGUGCGAGUUAAAACAAUGCAUCCACUACCCAAUGAAACAAAUAGUCAUGGUUUAUUUUUUGUGGAAAUCUCCGUCAGUCAAGUUACAAAGACGAUGCAGAUUUCCGCAAAACUAAUCCAUCGCUUUUUGUCUCAUUGCCGCAGCGGUGGUGGCGGGUUGCGUUUAAACUCGUGCAGUAGUAAACCGUCUUGAACCGGACGCUCUGUUUAUUGAAUUAUAUAUUUUUGAAAAAUAAAAAAAAUUGUACUAAA